UGAAAAGAUCUUUCAAAAGAGAGUUAAAAAGUGCGUGAAACCGUUAGUGGGGAAACGGAUGCAGUUAGCAAUGCUUCGGCGAGAUUCAGGCGGUCACCUGGCUGGACGGGCAGUGUGUGGAUCCGAAUGGACUGUCGCUGCUUGGCUUGGUCUUGUGCUCGUCGCACUUCUCGUCGGAGCGCGUCAACAGCUGCUUGACUUGAGCGAUACGGUGCUCGGGAAGGUAGGCGUGUGUCUUCGGACUUGCGUUGUUAUAGCCCGUGGCAUUCCCAGUUCGAGUUUGGCAGAGGCGAACGGUGCAUGCUCUCUAGGGGGCUGGCGUCCUUCUCUUGAUCGAUUGUCGAGCAUGGCGGACUGCUUGCAGUGCGUCUGAACUGCUGUUGGUCAUUCGGGAGGAUCGCGCACACUAUGCACCUAGGUUGUUGGCGGCCAUAUGGCUUCAUCUGACCCGUCUUGAAACACGGACCAAGGAGUCUAACAUGUGCGCAAGUCUUGGGGUGACCGAAACCCAAAGGCGCAAUGAAAGUAAAGGCUGCCUGGCAGCCGAGGUGAGAUCUUCGUUCCGCGUGUCCGAAGCGCAUCAUCGACCGACCUAUUCUACUCCUAGAAAGGGUUUGAGUAAGGAGCGCAUCUGUUGG
rnacentral:rRNA from 1 species